UGGGGAAUUUUGCACAAUGGGCGCAAGCCUGAUGCAGCGACGCCGCGUGAGGGAUGAAGGCCUUCGGGUUGUAAACCUUUUUCGCUCAUGGUCAAGCCGCAGCUUUGGGUUGUGGUGAGGGUAGUGGGUAAAGAAGCGCCGGCUAACUACGUGCCAGCAGCCGCGGUAAUACGUAGGGCGCGAGCGUUGUCCGGAAUUAUUGGGCGUAAAGGGCUUGUAGGCGGUUGGCCGCGUCUGCCGUGAAAUCCUCUGGCUUAACUGGGGGCGUGCGGGGGGUACGGGUUGACUUGAGUGCGGUAGGGGAGACUGGAAUUCCUGGUGUAGCGGUGGAAUGCGCAGAUAUCAGGAGGAACACCGGUGGCGAAGGCGGGUCUCUGGGCCGUUACUGACGCUGAGGAGCGAAAGCGUGGGGAGCGAACAGG
rnacentral:rRNA from 1 species